CCUACGGGAGGCAGCAGUGGGGAAUAUUGCACAAUGGGGGAAACCCUGAUGCAGCGACGCCGCGUGAGGGAGGAAGGAUUUCGGAAUGUAAAGCUCUAUCAGCAGAGAAGAAAAUGACGGUACCUGACCAAGAAGCCCCGGCUAACUACGUGCCAGCAGCCGCGGUAAUACGCAGGGGGCAAGCGUUAUCCGGAUUUACGGGGUGUAAAGGGAGCGUAGACGGUUCAUCAAGUCAGAGGUGAAAACCAAGGGCUCAACCUUGGGACUGCUUUUGAAACUGGUUAGCUAGAGUGCAGGAGAGGUAAGCGGAAUUCGUAGUGUAGCGGUGAAAUGCGUAGAUAUUAGGAGGAACA
rnacentral:rRNA from 1 species